rnacentral:rRNA from 1 species
UACGUAUGGGGCAAGCGUUAUCCGGAUUUACUGGGUGUAAAGGGAGCGCAGGCGGCUUGGCAAGUCUGAUGUGAAAGGCUGGGGCUCAACCCCAGGACUGCAUUGGAAACUGUAAGGCUAGAGUGUCGGAGAGGUAAGUGGAAUUCCUAGUGUAGCGGUGAAAUGCGUAGAUAUUAGGAGGAACACCAGUGGCGAAGGCGGCUUACUGGACGACAACUGACGCUGAGGCUCGAAAGCGUGGGGAGCAA